UACGAGGGGGGCAAGCGUUGUUCGGAAUUAUUGGGCGUAAAGGGCGCGUAGGCGGUGCGGUAAGUCUGAUGUGAAAUCUCCGGGCUCAACUGGGAGGGUGGUCGCGAGACGGCUGGGCUUGAGGCUCGGUGAGGGGCGUGGAAUUCCGGGUGGAGCGGUGAAAUGCGUAGAGAUCCGGAGGAACACCGACGGCGUAGGCAGCGCCCUAGACGAGACCUGACGCUCAGGCUCGAAAGCGUGGGGAUCAAACAGG
rnacentral:rRNA from 1 species